rnacentral:rRNA from 1 species
GGCUCCCCUAAGCCGUCCUCGUCUCCGAUGCCGGUUAUGGACUUACGGAUGAGGCUGAUAAUCCAGGCAGCAGCACUGAUUAGUGUGAUUCAGGCAUGGGUCAUGUUGAUGCACCAGAGAGCUGUUCGUCGUGCUGGGAGACCUUUGAUCCACUAUGGUCCAUUGUUUCCCCGGGAACAAGAGAGGAUCCAAAAUCUGAACUACAUCUACAACUGCAAUGACGUCGAGGCUCUGUGGAUGCUUAGAAUGAAAAGAGCACCAUUUGCCAGGCUUGUCGAGACCUUCAGGAGCAGGGGGCUGCUACAAGAUAGCAUCAACACCAGUGUCGAAGAGCAAGUGGCCAUGUUCCUCCAUGUUGUUGGCCAUAACCAGAGGUUCAGGGUCAUUCACAACACGUUCAGGAGAUCAAUGGAGACCAUCUCUAGGUACUUCAAGCAAGUGCUUUAUGCUAUUGGGGAGCUUAGAGGAGAGAUGAUUAGGAGACCAUCUGGUCAGACUCCACCCAAGAUUCGCGGAAGCCCAAGAUGGUAUCCAUACUUCAAGGAUUGCAUUGGGGCAAUA